CCCAUAGCAACGCCAGCCCCCAAAGUCUGGUCGUAGGAGACUUUAUGCAUGUGAGAAUCUGCACGUAGCAUUCAGACUUCUAGGAAUCCCGUCCUUACCAUAGAGGUCCUUACACACCAGCAGAUGUUCAUUUUGUCCCCGUUACCUGCACCGUGACCGGUUGGAGUCGAGACUUCAUACGACACAAGAGCCGGGAUUACACAUAUUUCUGCUACAGGAUGCUCUCGUUUAGGAUGGAGCUGCCAUGUUUGUGUCUAUUGUUGCUAAACUGUCUGCAGUCGCUCUCAGCCGGCAAUGACUUCUACACCUCAAUAGGCCAGAUGACAGAUCUGUUAUACACAGAAAAAGACCUCGUCACCUCCCUAAAGGACUACAUCAGAGCAGAGGAGACCAAGCUUGAGAAGAUUAAAGUGUGGGCUGAGAAGAUGGAAUCAAUGUCAGCCGCAGCCACACUGGACCCAGAGGGCUACCUGGGAAACCCGGUCAAUGCCUUCAAACUGAUGAAGAGGCUGAACACAGAGUGGGCGAUGCUGGAGAGCCUGGUGCUCAGUGACACCACUGACGGAUUUGUUUCCAACCUGACCAUCCAGAGACAGUACUUCCCCACAGAUGAGGACCAGACUGGGGCAGCUAAAGCCCUCCUCAGGUUACAGGACACUUACAGACUUACUGCCAACACCAUGGCUACAGGAGACCUACCUGGAGCGAAGCACAAGACUUUUAUGACAGUGGAGGACUGUUAUGAGCUGGGGAAGAUCGCCUACUCCGAUGUGGAUUACUACCACACCGAGCUGUGGAUGUCCCAGGCUCUGAAACAGCUUGAACAGGGAGAGGAGUCCAAUAUAGAUAAGGUGACAGUGCUUGACUACCUCAGCUAUUCCAUCUACCAGCAGGGGGAGAUAGAUCGAGCCCUGGAUUACACCAAGCAGCUCCUAAAACUGGACUCAGAGCAUCAGCGCGCCAAUGGCAACCUGAAGUACUUUGAGUUCCAGUUGGAGAAGCAGAGAAAGGCUGAUGAGGCUGAAGGGAAGGAACCAGGUAAAAAGGAAACAUCCGAAAAGAAAGAGAAGAGCAAGAAGGUCUCGAAUCAUCAGAUCCCAGAGAGGAAGAAGUACGAGAUGCUUUGUCGUGGGGAGGGCAUCAAAAUGACCCCCCGCAGGCAGAGCCGGCUGUUCUGUCGUUACUAUGACAACAAUCACAACCCCAAAUAUGUGCUGGCUCCUGUCAAACAGCAAGAUGAGUGGGACCGCCCCUACAUUGUCCGCUACCUCGACAUCCUCUCCGAAACAGAAAUCGAGAAGGUCAAGCAACUGGCGAAGCCAAGACUGCGCAGGGCCACCAUCUCCAACCCCAUCACAGGCGUGCUGGAGACAGCGCCAUACCGGAUCAGCAAAAGCGCUUGGCUCACUGGCUAUGAAGAUCCAAUUAUUGACGUGAUCAACCAGAGAAUUGAAGAUCUCACCGGACUGGAAAUGGACACUGCAGAAGAGCUGCAGGUUGCAAACUAUGGCGUUGGAGGUCAAUACGAACCACACUUUGACUUUGGAAGGAAAGAUGAGCCAGAUGCCUUUAAGGAGCUAGGAACUGGCAACCGCAUAGCAACAUGGCUCUUCUAUGUGAGUACAUUCAAUGGUUUUGAACUUUAGAUUGAACUUCCACUAAGCUGUUUUAAAUGUUUGACAGAAAUACUGGUGUUUGAAUCUUCUCUACGGAGCGGUCUCAUACUUGCCAAUGAAAUAUGAGUGAUGUAGCAUCAGGUGGAGCCACAGUAUUCCCAGAUGUUGGUGCAGCAGUUUGGCCCAAAAAGGGCUCGGCAGUGUUCUGGUAUAAUCUGUUCCCCAGCGGGGAGGGAGACUACAGCACCCGACAUGCAGCCUGUCCAGUGCUGGUGGGCAACAAGUGGGUAUCAAACAAAUGGAUCCAUGAACGAGGCCAGGAAUGGCGGCGACCUUGUUCCCUUAAUGAAACGGACUGAUGAAAAAGGCAAACCUCUUCACCUCCCUGGCCCUUUCUCUCCUUCCUUGUGAACAGCCCAGGAACAAAGAACACCGCUGCAGAUCACAGAUGAUGCGAAUGGAUACACGGUGUUCAAAUGUCUCACUCCCUCUCUACAAGCACUCCCUUUUUUCCCCAGCUGUUGUGCUCUGAGCCCAGAGAUUGUUUGGGUUGAUGUCUAGAGUAGACCCUUGCAAAGUAUUAGCAACGCUGUGACAGAUAACUUCAGAUUGUUGGAUGGUUUGGAGAAACACUUGCGCAAUUUUUACUCCCAUGUGUCUGUAUUUGCACUCUGCAUGAACUCUAGUUCUGUGGUGAGAUUAUCGUUCAGUAGUGGCUGCAGGGAGCAGCCUUUCCCUGGCAGUUUGAACCUUAAAAGCACAGAUAACAUUUUUAACAGGCCCGUCUGAUUCAUUUCAUUACUUUAUUCAUUUACAGAGUUAAUGAAUAAAGUAAUUUAUUGUAAAACUACAUGCACCAUCUUUAAAACUGUUUUUUUUUCUCAAACAGGCGUAUUAUUUAGAGGGAUUGCAAAAGCAUAUCGUAGUUUAACUUAAAUAUUCUCUUUUCUAGUUUUAAAUGCAGUCUCCUCCUCCAAUAACUUUAAUUUCGAAAUUACAGGUAGUGUUCUGCGGAACAAAUGAUAUGACACACAGUACAUAACAAAAUGGUCACUCCAAAAAAUAUAUAAAUACAAUUCAGGGUAGUUUUGUAGGUUGAAAGAAACACUUUAUUUCCUGUAAAUCAUGUCACUUAUCAGAACUGAUUUAAAUGGUAUGGCUGCAUCUAUGUUGACAUAUCACAUACCUUAUUGGUCUGCCUCAGAACCUAGUUUUAGAUAUUUUUUGUAAGUCAUUUACAUCGUCACACCAAGAGAUAUUUUUAGAUUUGGUGAACUUAACACCUGGACACAGACAAAGUAAUGUAAAUCUCAAUGCUGCAUGAAUUUUGUAUUUGAUCAUCCUGAUUGUCCCGGUGUUGUGUAAGCAACAACCAAUCAUUGAAUAAUAAGAGCAACAAUAUUAUGGAAAAAGAAGAGUGGGCUGGAUACACCGCAUUGUGCCAUGACGGGUUCACAUAUCCAGUUUUUUAUAGAGUGAAUGAUUCUGGUAGGUUUUUAACAGUGUCCAUUGGUUUUCAGUGUGAGAAUAUGAGUUUUCCAAGGAAGAAACAUUUUAUUUAUAUGUCUCAGCCAAUUGUGUGUUAUUUUUUUGUCUCAUAGGAAAGUCUGACAUUGUUUUUUUUUCUACAAUAAAGACUUAUAUUGAUCUUAA